AACGCACCUUGCGCCCUUUGGCUAUUCUGAAGGGCAUGCCUGUUUGAGUAUCAUGAACACCUCAACUCUCAUGGUUUGCCAUGAUGAGCUUGGACUUUGGGGGUCUUGCUGGCCUAUGGUCGGCUCCUCUUAAAUGAAUCAGCUUGCCAGUGUUUGGUGGCGUCACAGGUGUGAUAACUAUCUACGCUUGUGGUUUUCCACCAGGUAACCUUCAGUGAUGGAGGUUCGCUGGGGCUCACAAAUGUCUCUCCUCAGCGAGGACAGCUUUUUAACGUUUGAUCUCAAAUCAGGUAGGACUACCCGCUGAACUUAA
rnacentral:misc_RNA from 1 species